AUCUUUUUUUGCAAAACAUUCAAGUUUGGUCUUAAGUCUGUUGUAACAAUAGGUCAAUAGAACUUUUUGAUUUGAUGUGAGGUGGAGGGGAAUGCCAUGGUUUGAACCUUUCACCUUGUAUAUUCUGUGAGGUCUCUUCGAAUAUACCAUACUAAUGAAAACAGACUCAGUUGUCCUGAAAGGAAAAAAAAAAGAUUUUGA
rnacentral:misc_RNA from 1 species